CUAUUAAAGGUUAUAAUUAAGUGGGUUGUGUCACUUGUGUGGGCGGAAUAAGUAUUUUACAUUUAUUAUAAUUUUAAAUUAAUUAAUUUGAUUUAGUGGUGAGUCCAAUAAUAUAUAUAAUAAUAAUUACAAAAAAUAUGAUUGGUUUUCAUCACUUAAUGGGUCACUCGAUCGAGUUCACCAUAAAGCGACCACGAACCAUCUUCAAUUUUUGUCAUUUUUAUGAGAUUUGUUAGAGCAUCUCCAGUGCUUGUUGCUUAGCUUGUGUCUUAGGUGGUGGUCCUCACCUAAGACACAGCCCUUGUAUCUUAGGUUGUGUCUUAGAUCUUCAUUUCCACAUAAUCCUCAAUUCUACACUUUAAUUUUAAAAUUCAAAAUUUUCACUAAAAAUAAAAUUAAACAUUACAUUAGCUAAAAUAAAAUAUAGGAUUUUAAAAUUAAAAACAUUACACAAUUAAAAAUUAUGUGAAAAUUAAAAAAAAUUAAAAAUUUAGGAUUUUAAAAGAAAUAAAAAACAAAAACAAAAACAAAAAUUAAAAUUAAAAUCAAAAUCAAAAUCAAAAAAGAAAAUUUUAAAAGCCUUACCCCACCCAGCCGGCAUCCCCUCUUCUUCCCCAGCCCACCCUCUUUUUUCUCAUCUUUCCCCCAUAGUCGGCACUUCUCAUGCCCCAAUUUCCGAAGGAAGGCACGAAUAGGGUUGUAUACGAACCGAGCUGAAUACCUUCAGGCUCGGGCUCGGCUCGCGAAAUUUUGGGUAGGCUCGAGUUCGGCUCGAGCUCGAGGUCAAGCUUUAAAAUGAGCUCGAGCUCGGCUCGACAGAAUAAUAUUAAGUUCGAGCUCGAUUCGUAUUCGGUUAAUUAAUUAUUCGUUUAUAUCGAGCUCGAACUCGGCUCGAAUUUGGCUCGAUUUUGGAGCUCGAGCAUGAAUUUGAAUUCGAGCUCGAUUUCGAAUUUAGGCUCGAGUUCGAGCUCGGCUCGAAUUUGCUCGAUUUUGGAGCUCGAUUUCAAAUUCGAAUUCGAGCUUGAUUUCGAAUUCAGACUCGAGUUCGAGCUCGGUUCGUGUAUUAAUAAUAAAUAAAACCUGUUAUGUAGUCAUUCCAAAAUUUUCAAUCCACAAUGCAAAAUCACAAAAUAAAUCCACAAAAAGUAUCAAAAUUACACAAUAUUU